rnacentral:tRNA from 1 species
GAGGGUAUAGCUCAAGUGGUAGAUCACUUGCCUAGCAUGCAAGACGUCCUGGGUUCAAUCCCCAGUUCCUCCU